rnacentral:misc_RNA from 1 species
UCCGGUUUGGCACCGGCAGUCUCCCUAGAGUUCCCGGCAUUAUCCGCUGGCAACUAAGGACAGGGGUUGCGCUCGUUGCGCCACUUAAGGCAACACCUCACGGCACGAGCUGACGACAGCCAUGCACCACCUGUAUACCGACCUUGCGGGGGCUACAUCUCUGUAGCUUUCCGGCAUAUGUCAAACCCAGGUAAGGUGGGGAUGACGUUUAGGAGCUCGAC